CUAGAGUCUGCUAUUGUUCCUCUUAACCCGAAUCCACUGUCUUUGCACAUUCUCCAAUGAGAACUGGCCGGUGUGAGCUUUGAAGCCGAAAUCCACAGCGCAAGUCGCCAAUCAAACAAACCAGUCAGACAAACAGGGAGAGCGAGAGAGAGCGAGGAAAGAGCGUGCGUCUCAUAUGGACUAACAGAGCCGCGCUCGUGAUCAGUGCACGAUCUUCUGCCACUGGAUACCGGAAAGGGCCUCCUGAUCACCAUCUAUCAAAGCACAGCGAUUGAGCCUGAGAAUAAACGAGAAGGACUAUGACACAGGCGCUCAAGAGGCCGUGCACACGAGAUCGACUUGACAACUUUGGGCUCCUGAGCUCAAAUACAUCUGUAUUUAAGAUACGUUUAUUUAAUAGGACCAUCUGAGCCACAUGUGAGGAAACGUUGUGUAGUUAGAGCCUAAUGAAACAGUUGCGCAACUUAUAGCGCCAUCUAGCUCCUUUCUGUGUUCCUCCUGUGCACUGCAGCACCCCCUACAGGAACAUGUCUGCAGCGCAGACUCAGAAUGACCGGGAGCAGUGCUGGGGUUGUCUGGAAUCGCUCGGCCUCAGCCAGAGGGAGCUGGUCCUUGCAGAGGCCCUGCAGAUGGAGUAUGACGCUCUCGCCCGCCACCGACAGGACAAGGCCCCAGCAAAUACUCUACCCCCUGAAACCAAGUCAUCGCCUGCAAAAAGCGAGCCCUCCCUGCCUAGACACGUUCCCAGUCCUCCUUGGAAUAAUUUGCAGCAGGGUGUUUCCGGAUCUGACCCCAUGCUCAACCACGUUCAACCCGGGGUGUCGAACUUAUCACAAUCCAGCAGUGAGUCUUCCGGAUUUAGUAAGGAGCCUCGUUACAUUCUGGAUGAAUGGAAAAGUGACUUCGAAGGAACGUCGCAGUUGCUGUCAAAAGGGCCACCGUCUCUAGAUGAGCCUCCGCCACCAGUACCACCCAGAAAUCCCAUCCUCCAGAACGAUCCGUUCAUUGUCCAUCGAAGCUCAGCCCCACGGGAUGUCAACUUGUUCACUCCUGAGGUGGACCAGCCCAAGCUUUCCUUCGGAGACACUCUGAACUAUGAUAACCUCAAUGACUCCCUGAGCAAGCUAAAUGAGGAUUGGCUCUCACCUAAUAGAAGCCAGAGAGCAAAUGGGGACAAAUCAGGGAAGACAGUAGCUCGCAGUAACACCCUUCCUCCUCAGAUUCCUCCCCGCACCUAUCUUCCAGCGCAGAAGAGUACUAGAAGCCAACGCAGAGUAUCAAUUGAUCCGGUAUCUCUAGGGUCCAGGCCAAAUGGCUUUGGUUACGAGCUCUUUCAGGUUUCUGAAGAGAGGGAUGAAGAAGUGGCGGCCUUCUGUCAUAUACUUGACUUGCUACGAUUGGCGUACCCAUGCAAUGACUACUCCAAAAAUACAGGCUUUGUUUGGAGUCCGUGUGUGGCACAAGAUGAACUGCAGCAGGGCCUGGGGGUCAGCAUAAAGGUCACGGUUUACAGUGACAACUUCAGAGAACCACUCACAUUCUCUUGUGAUGGAUCUUCAACCAUAGACCUGCUAAUUUAUCAGACUCUCUGCUAUGCCCAUGAUGACCUGGAUAUGAUUGAUGUGGACGACUACCUGCUGAAAAUCUGCGGCCAGGCAGAGUUCCUCAAAAACACUCAGACUCUGGCGAGCUUUGAGUACAUCCAGCAGUGUCUGAAGUUUGACUGGGACAUUCAACUCAUUCUUACCAAACGGAGUUCUGUCAACAUGGAGCUGGGCCGAACGGCAGAGGAUGAUGUUACUCCAUCCACCAUGAACCAAAGUAUUCUACUGCAAGAGAGGUCAAUCAAACAGACCGUGACCAGGGAGGCACUGACUCUUCUCCUGGAUACCUUUUACAAUGAGGCUGAGUCUUUCCUUUUAUCGGAGGUUGAGUUGCCGUUGCAUGUGGAGAGGUUAGUGCAGUCUGUGAAGGCUUUGUGUUCUUCUCUAGCAGCUGUUGAAACACCUGACAUCACUGCUGCCCUAAACCAACUGCCAGCAUGCCCCUGCAGACUACAGCCUAAAGUGCAAAAGGAUGUCAGUGUCUUGGCAAAGAGAGAAAACAGAGUGACAAUUGUGGAGAAAUUGACUGCAGCCAUCUUGGAUCUUGUGGAGUUGUACUGCAGCACUUUCAAUGCUAAUUUCCACACCAUGCCACACAGCAGCAGAUCCACAGCCCCCAUACAGGAAGCUGGAAUGGUCACCAACGUGCUUUCCUUCAGCGUUUAUGCGGCUCAUCGCAUCCCUAUCACAUGGGCUCAUUCAUUAUACAUUUGCUUCCCCAUCCAGAUCAACCAGUUGCCAAGGGAGUCACAGUUGACUGUAACACUAUAUGCCACCCCUGUACCGCCCCCUGGAGGUGCGGAGGAGAAGGGCAAACAGAAACGCAGCAUUGAGGCUUUGGGUUGGGUCACCAUGCCCUUAUUCAACUUUAGACAUGUUCUAACAUGUGGGAGGAAGCUGCUGGGUCUCUGGCCUUCAACCCCUGGCAGUGGAAAUGCUCGUUCCAGUUUGCCCAACUUCAGCCAGCCAGACAGUGUCAUCCUUCAGGUUUGGCCUUUUGCUCAAAUCAAAUUGUUGACUCCAGAGGACCGGCGUCUAUUGUGGGAGAAGCGUUAUUUCUGCCACGUUGAAUGGGGAUGCAUGAACCACCUGGAUGCCCUAGGCCUGCUGAACGCCACGUUUCCAGAUCAGGAGUGCAGGCGGACAGCGGUCCAGUGGAUGGACUCAAUCUCUGAUCCUGAGCUUUUGGACUUCCUUCCUCAGUUAGUGCAGGCGCUGAAGUACGAGUGUUAUCUGGACAGUCACCUGGUGCGUUUUCUGCUGAGGAGGGCCAUUGGGGACAUACGCAUUGCUCACUACCUCUUCUGGUUGCUGAAAGAUGCUCUUCAAGACUCUCAGUUUAGCGUGAGGUAUCAGUAUCUGCUGGCGGCUCUUCUCUGCUGCUCUGGUCGUGGUUUGAGAGAAGAGUUUGAUCGGCAAUGCUGGCUGGUCAAUAUUCUGGCUAAAAUAGCCCAACGUGUUCGAGAUGCCUCGCCUUCAUCCAGACAGGCUAUUCUCCGGGAGGGUCUGGAUGAGGUCAAACAGUUCUUCUCUAUGAACAGCAGUUGUCGACUUCCUUUGAACCCGGGCCUGUUCGUCAAGGGCAUCAACAUACAGUCUUGCUCCUACUUCAACUCUAAUGCAGUGCCCCUCAAGCUGUCGUUCCAGAACCAGGAUGCUCUGGGGGACCACGUCAAUGUCAUCUUUAAGUGUGGAGAUGACCUGCGGCAGGACAUGCUGACGCUGCAGAUCAUCCGGAUCAUGAAUAAGAUCUGGAUCCAGGAGGGACUUGAUAUGAGGAUGGUCAUCUUCCGCUGUUUCUCUACUGGACGAGGCAAAGGCAUGGUAGAGAUGAUUCCCAGUGCAGAAACCCUGAGGAAGAUCCAGGUUGAGCAUGGAGUGACUGGUUCUUUCAAAGACCGGCCUUUGGCAGAUUGGCUGCAGAAACACAACCCCACUGAGGAUGAGUAUGAAAAGGCAGUGGAAAACUUCAUCUAUUCGUGUGCUGGUUGUUGUGUGGCCACAUACAUUCUAGGAAUCUGCGACCGCCACAAUGACAACAUCAUGCUUAAGACUAGCGGACACAUGUUUCACAUCGACUUUGGCAAGUUCCUGGGGCAUGCACAGAUGUUUGGCAACAUCAAACGGGACCGGGCUCCUUUUGUGUUUACAUCUGACAUGGCGUAUGUCAUCAAUGGAGGUGACAAGCCAUCCAGCCGUUUCCAUGAUUUUGUGGACUUGUGUUGUGAAGCCUACAAUCUGAUUAGGAAACAUGCACAUCUUUUUCUCAAUCUGCUUGGGCUGAUGCUCUCCAGUGGGAUACCAGAGUUGUCUGAUGUGGAUGAUCUGAAAUAUGUUUAUGAUGCUCUGAGACCACAUGAAUCAGAAGCAGAUGCCACCAUGCACUUCACCAGGCUAAUCGAGUCCAGUCUUGGCAGUGUGGCUACUAAGCUCAAUUUCUUCAUCCAUAACCUGGCCCAAAUGAAAUUUGCAUCCUCUGAGGAGCGUCCCGUUCUGUCAUUUGCUCCCCGUGUCUACACUUUAAAGAGUGAUGGUGUCAUUCGCAACCUAUUCGUCUGCAGACACAUCAAAACCUAUACUCCAAGCAAAGGCUAUUCUUAUGUUGUAAAAGUGGAGCGGGAAGGUCAGCAGGGGUCAACUUUAGUCCAGAGGACAUUUGAGGAGUUCCAUGAACUUCACAGUAAACUGCAGCUCAUCUUCCCUUCAUCAAAACUACCCAGCUUCCCCAGCCGCUUUGUGAUUGGUCGGUCUCGAGGAGAGGCCCUUGCAGACAGGAGGAAAGAGGAGCUAAAUGGAUAUGUUUGGCAUUUGAUCCAUGCUACUCAAGAGGUGGCACAGUGUGAUCUGAUCUACACAUUCUUUCACCCUCUACCAAGAGACGAGCGGGCAGGAAGUUCCAGCUCCUCUUUUUCUCCAGAUGUGUCCUGGGCUCCUGUUCCCGGUACAGUGGCAGGGGAAGUGAAGCUCUCAGUUCUGUACAAGAGCGACAAGCUUUUUAUCAUGGUGAUGCACAUCAGAGGCUUGCAACCUUUGCAGGACGGAACAGAUCCUGAUCCAUACGUCAAAUUGUACCUCCUCCCAGACCCUCAGAAAACUAGCAAGAGGAAGACCAAGGCAGCCCGGCGAACAUGCAACCCCACUUACAAUGAGAUGCUGGUGUAUGACAAGAUUCCACGUGGUGAUUUGCAGCAAAGAACCGUUCACCUGCGGGUACUGAGUGAGGGUGCAUUCUGGGAGAAUACCCUGCUGGGUGAAACCAUUAUUCAACUGAAAGACCUCACCCCGGGCCAUCGCUGGGUUGGCUGGCACCAGCUUGGCUCUGACAUAAACCGCUAACACUUGUGUGGAUGCCCAUUGGAAAUGAAGGAUUUCACAUGAGUCCUUCAGUGUGCAUGCGUUUGUGUCUGUCUUUGCUUAUGGGUCUGGAGUUGGAGAUGCCCAGCUGCUCAGAAGCCUGUUUCCCCCAGUGGGGGUUUGUGUUUGUUAAUUCUCCCAGGAGACGUGUAGAGUCGGUGAUGGAGUGUCAUCGCUUGAUACUGUUCUGGUGGGGUACCGUGCACCAUGUGAACCAGACCUUGGAUUUAUGGAAGCGGUUCUUGGUGACACUAUGGGACAAAAACCAUUUGGUGACACAAGGAUUGGCAGACAGAAUAUUUAAAGAUGAAAUAACUUUCAUGCGCCAUAUUUUUGGGGAGAUUUCUGGAAAAUUGAUGUCUGUGAAACUUUAAAGCCCCAUUUUGUCUUCUUGAGAAUGCUAAUGGAAAUUUAAGUUAUUUUUUUUUUAAGAUGUUUCUCUGUUGCAGCUCAAUUUUGAGCUAUGUUGUGUCCUGUGACAUUAGUUUUUCUCUUUGUAUCAGAUUUUGCAGACAUUUACCUAGGAAUUAAUAGUGAGGAACGCUUUUGUACUGUAAAGUUGGAUAAUUUCAGAUUGCCUGUGGCAUUUACCUGAUCAUGAAAAAGGGAUGAACACUUAAUAGUCUUUGGCUUGAAAUUGUGGAAUUAACUUGCUUCAUAUAACCACUGCAGGAAGUGACACAAACAGUACAGAGGGAAUGUAGAUUUUUGAUCAUGUAAAAUAGGUGGGUUCAUAAAAAAAGGAAUUGCAUGUACAGUAUAUUGAGCAAAGGAGACAAACCAGGAAUAUGAAUUUUGUUGCAUAAACCUCUAAGAUUUGUUUCUUUCCAAAAUGAUGGGGCGCAACUUUAUAUGCAGAAAAGGCUUUUGAAGGGACUUGAUUUUGCCUUGUUGAUAUAAGCAUAACCUACACAAGGACAUUUCUGUUUGGAAAUAGUUGAUUUGCAUGUUGUAAUAUUUGCUACUGGAUAAAUAUUGCAUUUUUGCAUUUGUUUGUCAAGUAUAUUGACCUCACAUUUUUCCAAGUUUUAUUGGUUAAUUUUGUGUGUGUGCGCCAAAGGGGGAGUGAAAUGAAUGCUUUAGACUGUAGUUAGGUCAAUUUCCAUUCCACAUUUGUACAGUAUGUAAAACUGCAUGUAAAUUAAAUGCUAAAUAUACCACAGGAGUUUUUUUUUUUUUUUCAACUUAAAGAUUUUGCAUUUAGAUUUGCUUUACUUUGCACUCAGUUUGAUUUUGAGAAGAACAACCUUAUAGCUCAUAUAAGUUUAGAAAAGAAAUUAAGUAAUUGGAAAUCUAUUUAAAUUAUAUUUGAUCUUACUUGCAUAAAAUUGUCUAAUUUAACAAAGUGGCAUUGAUGUUUGUGUUACAAAAAUAACCUACAAGUCAAAAGUGCAACCCCUGUAUGCGGAGGUGCUCUAACAAUCCAGUAGCCUUAAGCAAACUUAUAGGUAAGAUUAUCCAGUUCAAAGCAGUCCCUGUUCUAUAGCUCUUUCUAACCAGACAAACCAGCUCCAUUUCAGAUAUGAAGUACAUUUUCCCAAGUAUUGAACUUUCCUUCAAAUGACAAAUGGUUGUGUAUGUGUAUUUUUUCCCUCCAAAGGGCACUAUUGUGUGAUGUUUAACCUAAUGGGAAAUGAUUGUAUGAUUGCAUGCCAACCCAUAAUGCAAAGCUGAGUGUUUUAGAAAAAAUAAUAAUAAUAAUGUUUUGUGUGUGUAUGCAGAAGAGUUUGGAUUUAAACGUAUAGUACUUUUAUAACAUCUGUGACCCUUAUUUUAAUAAAUAAAGAGGAUGUGAUUAAAAUCA
ensembl:lncRNA